ensembl:lncRNA
UGUUGGGCCAAAUGUGCUACAGUUAGCGUUAAGGAGGUUGGAGACUAUGCAGAGAAGCCUUCAGUGGGCAAGAGGAAGACUGAUCAAUGUAACUGCAGCAGAUCAACUUCUGCGUGACUUGGCUGAAUUGAUUCAGGAGGUCGAACUGUCUACUCAGCAUGGCCAACAAGGCUGUUUUGGAUACCAGGCACCAGUGGUUUUCAACAGAGGUAGAGGUAGAUCCCUUUACCUUAUCACUCGGGAACAGCUUUCAUUCCUGAAGUCAUGUGGAUUCACUGCACCUCAGAUGGCUGAUAUUUUGAAUGUUUCACUUCGUACAAUUCGAAGACGUCUGCGGUCAGUGACUUUUGAAACCAGUGUGACUUUCAUUUCUUUGUGACACACACUCACUGUUUAUUCAAAUUAAAUGGUAUUGUGAAAUUGUAAACAUUAGUAUAUUUGAAUGUGCACCACUAGUCAAGUAAUGAAGUGUGCUGUUAUGGUAGUGAUAAAUUACUCAUGUUUUUUUUGUCUGAUUUCAGACAGUAUCAUUUCACCCGUGCAUCAAUGUAUGCGGAACUGACUGACAGUGCCUUGGAUGAACAUGUGCAGGACAUUGUCGCUGGCAAUGAACAAAUUGGUCCUGAGGCUGU